rnacentral:rRNA from 1 species
UACGUAGGGUGCAAGCGUUGUCCGGAAUUAUUGGGCGUAAAGCGCGCGCAGGCGGUUCUUUGCGUCUGAUGUGAAAGCCCACGGCUCAACCGUGGAGGGUCAUUGGAAACUGGAGAACUUGAGUACAGAAGAGGAAAGCGGAAUUCCACGUGUAGCGGUGAAAUGCGUAGAGAUGUGGAGGAACACCAGUGGCGAAGGCGGCUUUCUGGUCUGUAACUGACGCUGAGGCGCGAAAGCGUGGGGAGCAAACAGG